CCUUGGAACAGGGUAUCGGAGAAGGUGAGAAUCCUGUGCCGUGGCGUGGAGCGGCCGCACGAUGCGUCCUUGUCGAGUCGGGUUGCUUGGGAUUGCAGCUUGAAGUGGGUGGUAAAUUCCAUCUAAGCUAAAUACGGGCGAGAGACCGAUAGCGAACAAGUACCGUGAGGGAAAGAUGCAAAGAACUUUGAAAAGAGAGUCAAAGAGUGCUUGAAAUUGGCAGGAGGAAACCCGGUUGCGCCCCGCGUCGCCUUG
rnacentral:rRNA from 1 species